rnacentral:rRNA from 1 species
GACGAACCGUGCGAACGUUAUUCGGAAUCACUGGGCUUAAAGCGCGUGUAGGCGGAUGGGAACGUCGGUAGUUGAAAGCCCCCGGCUCAACCGGGGAAGUGGUGCCGAAACGACCCGUCUGGAGGGACGUAGGGGGACCUGGAACUUCCGGUGGAGCGGUGAAAUGCGUUGAGAUCGGAAGGAACGCCCGUGGCGAAAGACGAGGUCCUGGACGUCUACUGACGCUGAGACGCGAAAGCUAGGGGAGCAAACGGG